rnacentral:rRNA from 1 species
UACGAAGGGGGCGAGCGUUGUUCGGAAUUACUGGGCGUAAAGCGCACGUAGUCGGCUUUGCAAGUCGGUUGUGAAAUCCCCGGGCUCAACCUGGGAACUGCAUCCGAGACUGCAUUGCUAGAGUAUGGGAGAGGAAAGCGGAAUUUCUGGUGUAGCAGUGAAAUGCGUAGAUAUCAGAAGGAACAUCAGUGGCGAAGGCGGCUUUCUGGACCAAUACUGACGAUCAGGUGCGAAAGCGUGGGGAGCAAACAGG